rnacentral:rRNA from 1 species
CCUACGGGGCGCUGCAGUAGGGAAUAUUGCUCAAUGGGGGAAACCCUGACGCAGCAACGCCGCGUGAACGAGACGGCUUUCGGGGUGUAAAGUUCUUUUUGUGGGGACGGAUAAUGACGGUAUCUACAGAAUAAGCACCGGCUAACUCCGUGCCAGCAGCCGCGGUAAUACGGAGGGUGCAAGCGUUAUCCGGAAUCAUUGGGCGUAAAGAGCGCGUAGGCGGGAUAUAAAGUCAGAUGUGAAAGCCUAAGGCUUAACCAGAGAACUGCAUUUGAAACUGGUAAGCUGGAGUGUGGGAGAGGUAGGGGGAAUUCUUGGUGUAGGGGUAAAAUCCGUAGAGAUCAAGAGGAAUACUCAUGGCGAAAGCGAUUUGCUAGAACGUAACUGACGCUGAGGAGCGAAAGCGUGGGGAGCAAACGGGAUUAGAUACCCGUGUAGUC